AAAAAGUAGAAAAAACGUUCAGCGCACCCAUAUAGCCGCUUAAAACCGGCUUGAAGUGUAUAGGCAGGUGGCGGCUGAAUCGCUGGGCUAGCACUUUUUUUAGGCGGUUUAGGUAGUGCGGUAACAUGGAGUUUCACACUAACUUGUGAGAAACUCUGUGGUGGUUUGUUCUCCAUGGUGGAUGUUGGUUUUGACCGUGAGCUGUGUGCAUUAGCGAGAACCGCCUCUGCCCGUGGGAACGUACGUGGUCGCAUUGUGUAAGGGUGUUGUAGAAAGUGAUUCAUGUGCAAGUCGUUGCCGCUUUUGUUAGUUCUGCCAGUUCUACGAUGUCGCCGUGUUCAGUGGACGCUUAUGAGAGGAGGGAGCUUCUCCGCAGUGCUUAGUAGGUAACGCCAAUCUCCCGAAGUGUUGGGAGCAAUGAUCACGAGCUGUACGAGCAUGAAAUAAAGGUCAUGUGUUAUGC
rnacentral:lncRNA from 1 species